rfam:Schistosoma mansoni strain Puerto Rico chromosome 7, complete genome
GUCCAGCCGACGAGUCCCAAACAGAACGAAAGGAGUGUCUUGCAU